GGUUGGCCGCUGCCUUACACAUGCAGUCGAACGGUAACAGGGAGCUUGCUCCGCUGACGAGUGGCGAACGGGUGAGUAAUACAUCGGAACGUGCCCAGUAAUGGGGGAUAGCUCGGCGAAAGCCGGAUUAAUACCGCAUACGCCCUGAGGGGGAAAGUGGGGGACCGCAAGGCCUCACGUUAUUGGAGCGGCCGAUGGCUGAUUAGCUAGUUGGUAGGGUAAAGGCCUACCAAGGCGACGAUCAGUAGCUGGUCUGAGAGGACGAUCAGCCACACUGGGACUGAGACACGGCCCAGACUCCUACGGGAGGCAGCAGUGGGGAAUUUUGGACAAUGGGGGAAACCCUGAUCCAGCAAUGCCGCGUGUGCGAAGAAGGCCUUCGGGUUGUAAAGCACUUUUGUCAGGGAAGAAAUCCUUUGGGCUAAUACCCUAGGGGGAUGACGGUACCUGAAGAAUAAGCACCGGCUAACUACGUGCCAGCAGCCGCGGUAAUACGUAGGGUGCAAGCGUUAAUCGGAAUUACUGGGCGUAAAGCGUGCGCAGGCGGUUGUGUAAGACAGGUGUGAAAUCCCCGGGCUUAACCUGGGAAUUGCAUUUGUGACUGCACGAC
rnacentral:rRNA from 1 species